rnacentral:rRNA from 1 species
ACGGAGGGUGCAAGCGUUAAUCGGAAUUACUGGGCGUAAAGCGUACGCAGGCGGCUUGUUCAGUCAGAUGUGAAAGCCCUGGGCUUAACCUGGGAACUGCAUCUGAUACUGGCAAGCUUGAGUUUCGUAGAGGGGGGUAGAAUUCCAGGUGUAGCGGUGAAAUGCGUAGAGAUCUGGAGGAAUACCAGUGGCGAAGGCGGCCCCCUGGACUAAAACUGACGCUGAGGUGCGAAAGCGUGGGGAGCAAACGG